rnacentral:rRNA from 1 species
AUGCGUGACAAGAUGGCCAUCUCUCGCGAGCUCAUAUCGCGUUUUGACAAAGCCCAGGAAGAUCGCACGCUAUCUCCCCCGGAAGAUUGGCUGAGAAAACAGCUCAAGAUCUCAUACUUGGGGCUGGCUUCUCUCGAGCGCACAAUCGCGAGGCAACGGGCGCGGAUCACCACGCUCAAGGACGGUGACGCUAACACAGCCUUCUUCCACCGGCAAUGCUCAUUCCGCCGACAGAAGAAUCACAUAUUCGGCCUUGUGGUCGAUGGGCAAGUGAUCACUAAUCAGGAGGGAAUGGCCCAAGCGGCGUUCACAUACUUCGACGAGCUCCUUGGCUCCUCCGCCGCCCGCAACCACACGCUGGAUCUAUCGCAAAUCAUCGAGCCUCACGACCUGACUGACCUCGAGGUGCCAUUCAGCCCGGAGGAGAUUUGGGACGCCGUCAAGCGCCUCCCGGCUCGCAAAGCGCCGGGGCCGGACGGAUUCACCGCGGAAUUCUUGAGGGCCCGCUGGAGCAUCAUCAAGCAAGACUUCUUCGACGUAUUCCAGCAGCUAUUUGAGCUGCGCGGUCGUGGAUUCAGCAAGCUCAACCAGGCCCUCUUGACAUUACUCCCAAAGCGAGCAGACGCGUGCCAACUACGCGACUACAGGCCAAUAUGCCUCAUUCACCUUGUGGCGAAGAUCUUCGCGAAGGUGCUAUCGCUCCGCCUAGCGCCCAGAUUGGGAGACAUGGUCAGCCGCAACCAGAGCGCUUUCAUUCCGGGACGGAGUCUACAUGACAACUUUGUCCUCGUCAAGCAAUCGAUGAAGCUGCUGCACCAACUUGGGGCUCCGAGAGUGAUGCUCAAGCUAGACCUAACGCGUGCCUUCGACUCCCUAUCAUGGCCCUUCCUCUUUGAGGCUCUUGGCUAG